rnacentral:rRNA from 1 species
GCUCAAUGAAUAUUUAAAUUGCUGUAGUAUUUUGACUAUACAAAGGUAUUGAAAUAAGGUUUUAAUUGAAUGCUAAAAGAAUGGAAUAUCAAAGAAUAACUUUCUUAAAAUUAAAAAUUGAAAUUUUUUUAAUUUGUGUAAAAACAAUUAUAUAAAUUAAAGACAAGAAGACCCUAAGAAUUUUUAAAAUUUAAAUUAACACAUUUUUGUUUUAAUUAAAUUUUAACUGGGGCGGUUAAAAAAUAUUAAAAACUUUUUAAUUUUGAAAAUGACCCAUUAUUAAUGAAAAUAUGAUAAAAUACUCUAGGGAUAACAGCGUUAUAUUUUUUGAUAGAUCAUAUUGACAAAAAAGUUUGCGACCUCGAUGUUGGAUUAGGAUACUUUUUUAAUGAAGAUAUUAAAAUAAGAAGUUUGUUCAACUUUUAAAUUCCUACAUGAUCUGAGUUUAGA